GACGAACGCUGGCGGCGUGCCUAAUACAUGCAAGUAGAACGAUGAGUUUAGGUGCUUGCUCCCAUUUGCAGAGCCUCGAACGGGUGAAUAACGCGUGGAGAAGCUGCCUUUGAGCGGGGGACCACAUGUUAAAACGAGUGCUAAUACCGCAUAACCACUUUAAACUUAAUUUUUCAGGUUGAAAGAUGCAAUUGCAUCACUCAAAGAUUAUCCCGCGUUGUAUUAGCUAGUUGGUGAGGUAAAGGCUCACCAAGGCGAUGAUACAUAGCCGACCUGAGAGGGUGAUCGGCCACACUGGGACUGAGACACGGCCCAAACUCCUACGGGAGGCAGCAGUAGGGAAUCUUCGGCAAUGGACGAAAGUCUGACCGAGCAACGCCGCGUGAGUGAAGAAGGGUUUCGGAUCGUAAAACUCUGUUGGUAGAGAAGAACGGGGGUGAGAGUGGAAAGCUCAUCAAGUGACGGUAACUAACCAGAAAGAGACGGCUAACUACGUG
rnacentral:rRNA from 1 species